rnacentral:rRNA from 1 species
CGGCACGCUGGCGGCGUGGAUUAGGCAUGCAAGUCGAACGCGUCCUAAGGGCAACUUUAGGAUGAGUGGCGAACGGGUGAGUAUCACGUGGGUAAUCUUCCUUUAAGUGGGGAAUAAGCUCUCGAAAGGGAGUCUAAUACCGCAUGACAUUCCGGGACACAAGUCCCCGUAAGUCAAAGCCGCAAGGCGCUUGAAGAUGAGCCUGUCGUCCUAUUAGCUAGUUGGUGGGGUAACGGCCUACCAAGGCUCAGAUGGGUAGCCGGCCUGAGAGGGUGAACGGCCACACUGGGACUGAGAUACGGCCCAGACUCCUACGGGAGGCAGCAGCUAAGAAUAUUCCGCAAUGGACGAAAGUCUGACGGAGCGACGCCGCGUGGAUGAAGAAGGCCGAAAGGUUGUAAAGUUCUUUUGCUAGGGGAGAAUAAGUGAGGGAGGGAAUGCCCUCAUGAUGACAAGGACUAGCGAAUAAGCCCCGGCCAACUACGUG